GUGCCAGCCGCCGCGGUAAUACGGAAGGUCCUGGCGUUAUCCGGAUUUAUUGGGUUUAAAGGGAGCGCAGGCCGGAGAUUAAGCGUGACGUGAAAUGCCGCGGCUCAACCGUGGAAGUGCGUCGCGAACUGGUUUCCUUGAGUGAGUUCGACGCCGGCGGAAUUCGUGGUGUAGCGGUGAAAUGCUUAGAUAUCACGAAGAACCCCGAUUGCGAAGGCAGCCGGCGAGGCCUUUACUGACGCUAAAGCUCGAAGGUGCGGGUAUCGAACAGGAUUAGAUACCCUGGUAGUCCGCACGGUAAACGAUGGAUGCCCGCUGUAUGCGAUACAAUGUAUGCGGCCAAGCGAAAGCGUUAAGCAUCCCACCUGGGGAGUACGCCGGCAACGGUGAAACUCAAAGGAAUUGACGGGGGCCCGCACAAGCGGAGGAACAUGUGGUUUAAUUCGAUGAUACGCGAGGAACCUUACCCGGGCUUGAACUGCAGCGGAAGGAUUGAGAGAUCAUGACGUCAGCAAUGACCGCUGUGGAGGUGCUGCAUGGUUGUCGUCAGCUCGUGCCGUGAGGUGUCGGCUUAAGUGCCAUAACGAGCGCAACCCCUGCUGUCAGUUGCCAUCAGGUUAUGCUGGGCACUCUGGCGGUACUGCCACCGUAAGGUGUGAGGAAGGUGGGGAUGACGUCAAAUCAGCACGGCCCUUACGUCCGGGGCUACACACGUGUUACAAUGGGGUGUACAGAGAGUCGUGUGCAUGCAAAUGCAUACCAAUCAUGAAAGCAUCCCUCAGUUCGGAUUGGGGUCUGCAACCCGACCCCAUGAAGCUGGAUUCGCUAGUAAUCGCGCAUCAGCCAUGGCGCGGUGAAUACGUUCCCGGGCCUUGUACACACCGCCCGU
rnacentral:rRNA from 1 species